CAGCCGCCACGGGAAUACGAAGGGGGCUAGCGUUGUUCGGAUUUACUGGGCGUAAAGCGCACGUAGGCGGAUCGAUCAGUCAGGGGUGAAAUCCCAGAGCUCAACUCUGGAACUGCCUUUGAUACUGUCGAUCUGGAGUAUGGGAGAGGUGAGUGGAAUUCCGAGUGUAGAGGUGAAAUUCAUAGAUAUUCGGAGGAACACCAGUGGCGAAGGCGGCUCACUGGUCCAUUACUGACGCUGAGGUGCGAAAGCGUGGGGAGCAAACAGGAUUAGAUACCCCCGUAGUCCCUGUCUCUUAUAC
rnacentral:rRNA from 1 species